AGCUGGAUUACAUCAGCAUGCAGUGAGAGAAGAUGCUCCACCUGAGGAGGGUUACCAGGAUAAAUAGGUGGAGAAGAAGGGAGGUGGAGAGAGAGGGUUGAGGCAUUAAGGAGGCAUUGUGGGUUCUCCUACGGGUUGCUGUCUGAGCUGUUGGUUCUCCUGGAGAAGCCUUGGUCCUCACAUUGAGUAUUGCUUCCUGGCUCCUGGCUCCGGAGGGAAGACAUGUGCUGCCUGGUCUCCAGGAUGAACUCGUCACGUUGCUUCCUGGCACGUACCCAACUGUGCUUCUCAUCGCAAGAGCUCGGGGCCUCCGUGUCGCUGAGGACAGCUGUGGUACCUUCAAGGACAGCCCACUCUUUGUUACUAGUGCGUGACUCCCAGAAACCCGCUAAAGGAAUCCGAUGUUGCCUUUCUACACGGAGAAGGAAUGGCCCCUGACUUUUUGGAGGUUCAGCCUCAGCUGGCCAUGUCCAAGGGCUGUCUCACAUCAUGAGCCACUUUCGGACACACCAUGUCACAUCCAGCACACCACAGCUUCCCACCAGGACUUUCAAGUGCAGACCAGAGAAACAGCUGAUGCGGUAGAGGAAGACAGCAAGACAAGCUGAGAGAGAAGUCUUUACUUGAAGGCCCCCAUGCAUGCUGGACUCCAUUUGGUUCCCUUCACUGGUAAAGUUUUCCUCUGUGGGUUUUCUUUCUGGUCUACUGAGGACUUGACCAAUAGCCCGUGGAAUGUGUCAGCUCUAAUUGCCUGUGUGGAUUGGCACAAGUCAUGCCUUAAAAUUGGAAUGUUGUCACGUGAAAUAUAGCCUUUCAAAGGGAUAAACGAAGCCUGGAAAAUGUCUUAUCCGAGCAUUCCUUAAAAGCAACUGCAUUCUGCCAUGCUAUGGGGCAGAUGACCUUUAUAGAACCAGCUCAGCAAAUUCCCUUGAUGCCCAAGAUUCAACAGGUACCAGGACCCUUGCUCCUCCCCCAGUCCUAAAAAAGCAGGUUGGCUUCUCCCUCCAGCAAUAUCAGACAAUGGCCAGAGGCCCUUUGGGUGCUUGCACACAGCUGUAGCCAAGGAAACUUUCCAAAUGAAGUAGAUAAUUGGUGAGUUGUGAAGAAGAUGAGGGAUGUGAGAGCCCGGGCUCACUUGGGCAUGUGCCCCCUAAUGGGUGAGUGAUUUCCACAGGUGUUGCCUAGUGGCCAGGUAAUAGCAGUCAAGCAAGCCUCCUUAGACCAAGCUUGGAGAAUGCUUGAGGCGCUUAUUAGCAGAUUUGCCCAUGAGAAAGAUGCCAUACAGCAUGGGUAUGAUUGGCUGAGGAGAAGAGAAGACCCUGCCACCAGCUGGACGCCUGUCACGCGAGGCACCACAGGCUGAUAUUUCACGCAUUUUCACCUGGCCACUUAUGUUUUUCUCCAGGGUCUGUUUCCUUUAGAAAUAAACCAAUUAAGCAAUAAAUACAAGGGCAUGCAGAAAAUUAGCUCUUUGCUUAUUCUCCCUCCCUUGAGCAUGAGGCAGACAAGUGCUCAGAAUGGUGAAUAUAAAUUUGACCUGGACAGUACAGCACAGUGGGGGAAACAUUCAUUUCAGACAGCAUAACCUCAGACAAUCCCCUUCCCUUAAACACUUCUCACUGAAGACGUGCCUAUCAUGUUUUUGGCCUAUCAACAUGCCAAAGGAGUUGAAUGCAUUUUUAAAAUAGUUUGUGCAACUUAAGACUAAUGAACUAGUUGGCUAAAUUUUGGAGGAAAAAUAGCCGAAUUAAAUUUCUCUCUUUCCCAUGAGAUUGAAUCAAUGAGGGACAAAGGCAGCGCCAGAUCUCUCUAUCAUUUGGGGACAGACAAUUGAGAGCUGCCCCUAGGGAAGACUCUUGAACCGAAACUUUCAAGAAAGAUCCCAUAGAAAAAGUCAGCCCAUAGGAAAUGUCUAGUUGAGCUGAUAAGUGGCAGACUAUCCCACUUACCAAACUUCCAUUACAACCCUCGUUCAGGCACAUCACGUGAAGGAAUAAUUAUUUUUGUCCAAGGGUACAUCUCUUUGGGAAAAUGACCAUCUGUGAUCUUCUAAAAAUCUCAAGAUUGAUUUGCGACAUUUUCCCUAGAGAUCCCACCAUGCCCUCACCAUGCCAUGAGACAAGGACACAGAUGAUUCCUUUUUUAGAGAUGGGUAAAGUUGCUUUUGGAGAGCGACACAGAUACAAAGGCAUCUCCUUCCAGGGAGGGGAGCCAAGAUGCUUUGGAUUCCUGGAGAAGCCAGUGUGAGACUCUUACCAAGUGACCUUAUAGAUACUCAGCUCUGAUUGAUACUCUUUCAAGUAUUUGCAGUCACUCAGGAUCUGUCUCUCAUUGAGAUGGUCCCAUUUUUGUGACCAUUUACUUAUAAAUUCCUACUUUAGUUAAACCAUAGUUGACAAAUGCUGGCAUUGGAUUGGAUUGGAUUUACCUGGAAGAGAUGUUCUGCUGUUAUUAUAAAAUCCAAACACAAAAUCCAUGCAAAGUUUAGCUGAUCAAAUGCUUUCUUCUGGAACUUUCCACCCUGAGUGAGGGCAGCAGAGGCAGCAGGAAGGCUCAGUGACCGUUGUCCCAGGGGAGCCCCAGUGGUGUGGCCUGGAUGUUCAUGUCUCUCCCAGCUCAUUUGCAGAAAUGCCAAACCCCAAGGCGAUGUGUUAGGAAGUGAGACCUUCGGGAGGGGAUUAGGUCAGGAAUGGGAUCAGUGCCCUCAAGGAAGACUUGUAACUUCUGCAUCGUGGAAUGCAGCGCAGAGCCGGCCAUCGUGAACAGAAAGUGGAACCUGCCUCACACUGAAGCUGCUCAUGCCUUUGUCUUUGACUUCCGAGCCUUCAGAACUGAGAAAUAAAUUUCUGUUGCUUAUAAAUUUAUAAACUGCUCAGCUUAAGGCCGUUAAGGUUGUUAUAGGAGCCGGAAUGGACUAAGACACAUGGCUUUUCCUGCAAUAAUCAACGGCAUUCCUACUUUCCUGCCCCAGAGCUUCCUGCUACGCCCUAAUUCUGCUCUCCCUAAACCCCAUUCCUUCCAUCACCCUCAUGAGAAAUAACCAAUAGCUAACCUUUUGAUCUGCAGAAACAUUUUCCUGUGAUUCCACGUACUUAUUUAGCCCAGUGAUUUUUUUCUUAGUUGUUACUAAGUUAGCUGACACAUCCAGUGCAUCCCAUACAUCAACUCUGAGCUCAUGAGGAUAAUCCUGGUGUCUGUUUUCCCAGCACAUUGUAUCUGAAUUCUCAGUAUCUGUAAAGUACCCAUCCUAACACAGGCGCAGUCAACACUUUACUUCCAGGUGAUAUUUUAAUACGUUUAUAUAUUAGCCUCUUUCAGGAGGCUGUGAGGUUCUUGUGGACAGAGCCUGGAUUUUCUUUUCUCUAACAUCAUUUCUGAUAAUAUAAGAAGCUACCAAAUGACUAAAUUCACUUCAAGGGGACCAUCAGAGUCAUCUCCUUAAAGUUUCUUAUCAGCACGGGCCCAUAGUUUAUUAAUAACAGUCAUACAACUAACUUAAUUUUUUCAAAGAUAAAGCUAAUGAUUAUUUCAGUUAUCAUUGUCUUAUGAGCAAUCACCCCACAAAGAGCUUAAAACAGUAGUAACUGUUAGGAUUGUUACCUUCAGUGGUCCUGAGGCUGACUAAACUCAACUGAGUAACUCUUAGCAUUCUUUAAGCGGUGAGAGGAGUCUGAUGGCUGGGACUGGAGCCAUCAGAACCCCUCCUCAUCGAUUCAUCCAGUGGGGUGGUUGGAGCCGAUGGUCAUCUGGGAUCUCAGCGGGGGGCCUUGGCCGGAACACUCAGGCUCAGUUUAUUCAUGUGGCUUGGGCUUCUCUUCAGCAUAGCAGUUGAUUUUCAAGAAUGAGCAUCCCCUGAGAACCAGGAAAACUGUAUCAUCUCUUCUACCCUAACCUUAGAUAUCCCUUCUGCGAUGGUGUCAUGCCCAGCCAGCUCCAAGGAGACAAGGCGGUCUAUCCAAACUGGGGCAGCACGACUUUGUGAUGCAGGAUGGACAUAUGGGGUGGCUGCAUCACCGUAUCUGUCUUCCAGUAGCUUUCCUGUGACUACUUGCCUCAAACAAUCCCUUCUGAAGAGACCUCCAAUGUUCCGCCAUUGGCCUGAAGGUCAGGACUUGUGUCCCAUACGUUAGAUGCAGGUGUAGAUGGUACCCAGUGGGAAUUUCUCUGGCAGAGUCCCUUGGCUACUCAUUCUGAACUGAAGAUCAGUGAGUGAAGUUGUCACCCACCCAUCCCAGGUCCAAUCUCAGACAGGGAAAAUACUGUAAAUAUGUUUUCCUUUUGAAAAACAGAUAAAAAGUUUCACAGGUAACUAAAACAAGGGCGAUUAGAGGCUACUGGAUUAGAGUUUAAGGAGAAGGGGACUAAGGUUUUACCACUUUCAUAAAGUCUGAGGAGCUUCUAUUUCCUGAAUUUCUCAAGAUAUUGCUCAGCAAGUAUUUGUUAAAAGAAUGAAUGAACUAAGAGAUGCUCCUGCUCACUGAGUAAAACCAUGUAGUGGGUGCUGGGAACAUGCGCUCAGUGGAGUCAUCUGGAAUAGAAAAUGCUCUCUGUUCUGGGGGAGGAGGACGUGAGGCCCCACACCCACAACCAGGAGGCAGAGAAGAAACACAGCCACUCUUCCCGUUGCCUCAUUCAUGUGGCCAGCAACGGGGCCUUCGCAGCCUCCUCCCCAAAGACAGUGGCAGCACAGCGGAGCUGCUCGCCAAUCUUCUGCCAGAAGUGAAGCCUGGUUGGUGAGUUUCUCCUGUCUUCCCUAUAUGCCGGUUUAGUGGCUACCAGAAUCCGGAUUAAGGUGUGGGCACCUCAGCUGGGCUCAGCGUGUCUCACCCGUUCCUCAGGGUCCCUUUCACCCUCUCACUUGCAUC